rnacentral:rRNA from 1 species
GACGAACGCUGGCGGCGUGCUUAACACAUGCAAGUCGAACGGAAAGGCCCUGCUUUUGUGGGGUGCUCGAGUGGCGAACGGGUGAGUAACACGUGAGUAACCUGCCCUUUACUUUGGGAUAACUUCAGGAAACUGGGGCUAAUACCGGAUAGGAGCUCCUGCUGCAUGGUGGGGGUUGGAAAGUUUCGGCGGUUGGGGAUGGACUCGCGGCUUAUCAGCUUGUUGGUGGGGUAGUGGCUUACCAAGGCUUUGACGGGUAGCCGGCCUGAGAGGGUGACCGGCCACAUUGGGACUGAGAUACGGCCCAGACUCCUACGUGAGGCAGCAGUGGGGAAUAUUGCACAAUGGGCGGAAGCCUGAUGCAGCAACGCCGCGUGCGGGAUGACGGCCUUCGGGUUGUAAACCGCUUUCGCAUGUGACGAGGCGUGAGUGACGGUAAUGGGUAAAGAAGCACCGGCUAACUACGUG